CGCCAUGAGCGCAUGAUACGCCCGUCGUUCGCCAAUGAAGUAGUAAGGUAAUAAAUAACCCUUUGAAUCAUUUUUUUACUUCAGUUUAUUUGUAUUUGAAUACAUGGUUUAUUUUAUAAGAACAUGAGCAUGGAGCGCCGUCUCCUUGACAUUCAACAAAGUCCCAUAACUGUGGAACAACAAUUCAGAAUUCCGUCAAAAACGAAAGGGGAUCAGGGUUUAUCAAUAUUAAGAUUGUGUUGAAAUUUGAAAAAAAUCCAUCGAAGGAUAUUUGAGCUACAGUAGGACAUUCAAUGAAAUCACGAAAUUUUGACGAACAAAGUCCCAUAACUCUGGAACGACAAUUCAGAAUUCCGUCAAAAACGAAAGGGGAUCAGGGUUUAUCAAUAUUAAGAUUGUGUUGAAAUUUGAAAAAAAUGCAUCGAAGGAUAUUUGAGCUACAGUAGGACAUUCAAUGAAAUCACGAAAUUUUGACGAACAAAGUCCCAUAACUCUGGAACGACAAUUCAGAAUUCCGUCAAAAACGAAAGGGGAUCAGGGUUUAUCAAUAUUAAGAUUGUGUUAAAAUUUGAAGAAAAUCUGUCAAAGGAUAUUUGACGUAGCGUACGACAUUAACAGACGGACAGACGGACGCGGGGUAUACCAUAAUACGUCCCGUCAUAGAC